UACGGGGGGGGCAAGCGUUGUUCGGAAUUACUGGGCGUAAAGGGCUUGUAGGCGGCCAACUAAGUCAGACGUGAAAUCCCUCGGCUUAACCGGGGAACUGCGUCUGAUACUGGAUGGCUUGAGUUCGGGAGAGGGAUGCGGAAUUCCAGGUGUAGCGGUGAAAUGCGCAGAUAUCAGGAAGAACACCCGUGGCGAAGGCGGCUCUCUGGGACGGUACUGACGCUGAGACGCGAAAGCGUGGGGAGCAAACAGG
rnacentral:rRNA from 1 species